AGUCGAACGCUUCUUUCCUCCCGAGUGCUUGCACUCAAUUGGAAAGAGCGAGUGGCGGACGGGUGAGUAACACGUGGGUAACCUACCCAUCAGAGGGGGAUAACACUUGGAAACAGGUGCUAAUACCGCAUAACAGUUUAUGCCGCAUGGCAUAAGAGUGAAAGGCGCUUUCGGGUGUCGCUGAUGGAUGGACCCGCGGUGCAUUAGCUAGUUGGUGAGGUAACGGCUCACCAAGGCCACGAUGCAUAGCCGACCUGAGAGGGUGAUCGGCCACACUGGGACUGAGACACGGCCCAGACUCCUACGGGAGGCAGCAGUAGGGAAUCUUCGGCAAUGGACGAAAGUCUGACCGAGCAACGCCGCGUGAGUGAAGAAGGUUUUCGGAUCGUAAAACUCUGUUAUUAGGGAAGAACAAACGUGUAAGUAACUGUGCACGUCUUGACGGUACCUAAUCAGAAAGCCACGGCUAACUACGUGCCAGCAGCCGCGGUAAUACGUAGGUGGCAAGCGUUAUCCGGAAUUAUUGGGCGUAAAGCGCGCGUAGGCGGUUUUUUAAGUCUGAUGUGAAAGCCCACGGCUCAACCGUGGAGGGUCAUUGGAAACUGGAAAACUUGAGUGCAGAAGAGGAAAGUGGAAUUCCAUGUGUAGCGGUGAAAUGCGCAGAGAUAUGGAGGAACACCAGUGGCGAAGGCGACUUUCU
rnacentral:rRNA from 1 species